rnacentral:lncRNA from 1 species
UGUUUCCAACCUGGUGAUCGAUGACACUGAGCUGAAGCAGGUGGCUUACAUCUACAAGUGUGUCAACACGACAUUGCAAAUCAAGGGCAAAAUCAAUUCCAUUACAGUAGAUAACUGUAAGAAGCUUGGCCUGGUGUUUGAUGACGUGGUGGGCAUUGUGGAGAUAAUCAAUAGUAGGGAUGUCAAAGUUCAGGUGAUGGGAAAAGUGCCAACCAUUUCCAUUAACAAAACAGAUGGCUGCCACGCUUACCUGAGUAAGAACUCCCUGGACUGCGAGAUAGUCAGUGCCAAAUCUUCUGAGAUGAACGUCCUCAUUCCUACAGAAGGCGGUGAUUUUAACGAGUUCCCAGUCCCUGAGCAGUUCAAGACCUUGUGGAACGGACAGAAGUUGGUCACCACAGUGACAGAAAUCGCUGGAUAAGUGAAUGCAUGGGUCCUGUGCCCUCUCCCUUCACACCAUGGGAUACAUCUGUAUGGAGACGGUUCUUUUCUAGAUUUCCUCUACCUUUCUGCUCUUAAACUGCUUCUCUGCUCUGAGAAGCCCAGCUACCUGCCUUCACUGAAUAUACCUCAGCAGCUGAGGCCUCCUCGUAGGGACCUGGAUAGGGCUAAGACCUCCACUGCAGCUGUUUGGGGCUUGGUUUACACCAGAGUCUUGCACAGCAUUGGUAUCGCAAACCCAGAAUUCUCUCUAGGACACACUGACCAAAAUAUGCAACCUUUUUUUUUUUUUUUUGUGGGAAAA